rnacentral:rRNA from 1 species
GACGAACGCUGGCGGCGUGCUUAACACAUGCAAGUCGAACGAAGAGCGAUGGAAGCUUGCUUCUAUCAAUCUUAGUGGCGAACGGGUGAGUAACGCGUAAUCAACCUGCCCUUCAGAGGGGGACAACAGUUGGAAACGACUGCUAAUACCGCAUACGAUCUAAUCUCGGCAUCGAGGAUAGAUGAAAGGUGGCCUCUACAUGUAAGCUAUCACUGAAGGAGGGGAUUGCGUCUGAUUAGCUAGUUGGAGGGGUAACGGCCCACCAAGGCGAUGAUCAGUAGCCGGUCUGAGAGGAUGAACGGCCACAGUGGGACUGAGACACGGCCCAGACUCCUACGGGAGGCAGCAGUGGGGAAUCUUCCGCAAUGGACGAAAGUCUGACGGAGCAACGCCGCGUGAGCGAUGACGGCCUUCGGGUUGUAAAGCUCUGUUAAUCGGGACGAAAGGCCUUCUUGCGAAUAGUGAGAAGGAUUGACGGUACCGGAAUAGAAAGCCACGGCUAACUACGUG